rnacentral:rRNA from 1 species
UACGGAGGGGACUAGCGUUGUUCGGAAUUACUGGGCGUAAAGCGCACGUAGGCGGAUUUGUAAGUCAGGGGUGAAAUCCCGGGGCUCAACCUCGGAACUGCCUUUGAUACUGCAAAUCUCGAGUCCGGAAGAGGUGAGUGGAAUUCCUAGUGUAGAGGUGAAAUUCGUAGAUAUUCGGAAGAACACCAGUGGCGAAGGCGGCCAACUGGUCCGGUACUGACGCUGAGGUGCGAAAGCGUGGGGAGCAAACAGG